AUUCAGCUGAUGUGUCUCAAAUAGGACGAGAUGCGCGUGAAACUGGAU
rnacentral:hammerhead_ribozyme from 1 species